rnacentral:rRNA from 1 species
CCAUUAGAUGUUCUGGGCCGCACGCGCGCUACACUGAUGCAUUCAACGAGUCUAAAACCUGCUCUGAUAGGGGUGGGUAAUCUUUUGAAUGUGCAUCGUGAUUGGGAUAGAUGAUUGCAAUUUUUCAUCUUCAACGAGGAAUGCCUAGUAAACGCAAGUCAUCAGCUUGCAUUGAUUACGUCCCUGCCCUUUGUACACACCGCCCGUCGCUCCUACCGAUUGAAUGAUCCGAUGAAUAUCAUGGAUUGAGGAUGCAAGUAGGUUCGCCUAUCUUCAUCUUCGAGAAGUGAAGUAAAUCUUAUCAUUUAGAGGAAGGAGAAGUCGUAACA